AUGGAGAGAUGCUUUCUACUGAUUCUUAUAUCCACACCAGGUGUUUUGUCUGACAGCAUUCAACCAACAGACAAGCAAACUAAUGUUGACAAAAAAGAAGCAGAGCGUGUAACACUGAGCUGCUCAUAUGAUACAAGGGGCGAGUAUGUCGAUCUCUACUGGUACAGACAGUAUCCUAAUAGAGAACCAGAAUAUUUACUGCGUAAGGUGCCCGUUCGUGGAGUAGUUACAAUCAUAUGCAGAUCCUCAGUUUUCAGGCGACUUCAUCCCAAACCUCCACUGAACUCACUAUUACUGCUGUAACUCUGUCAGAUUCAGCUCUCUAUUAUUGUGCUCUAAGAGUUGGAGCCCAGUGA